ensembl:lincRNA
UACAGAGAUUGUGAGCCGAUGCAUGUGUUGCUUUAGGCCACUGAGUCUGGGCUUAUGGAUUAUUCUACAGUAGAAAAUAUCAAUUCAUCACUUUUAUGUCUUUCUUUUUUUUGUUUGUUUGUUUGUUUUUCUUCCAGUACCAAGAAUCGAACUCAUGACCUUGCACUUGCCAGGUAGGCGCUUUGCUGCUGAGCUAAAUCCCUAGCCCUACUUUUAUGUCUUUCUAUACUGUCAGCCUCCUGAAUCACUGAAUUCGCAAUACUUGGACUCAACUCACCACAAAUAGAAAUUUUUCACUGCAUCCAUACUGAAUACGUACAGACUUUUUCUUCUCAUUAUUCCCUAAUGGUACAGCUGACAACGAGUGACAUAGCACUGACAUCACCUUAGGUUUGUGACUUCAUCUGGCGGCAACUGGAUGUGUACAGGAGCGUGUGCAUAGGUUCUGUACAAGUACAGCGCCACUUUACAUAACAGGGUCUUCAGAACCCAUGGAUUUUGGUAUCCUUAAGGGAACCUAGAAUCCAUUCCCAGCUGGUACUGGGGACCACUGCAUUUGUCUUUCUCCUACUUCACUUACUCUGAGUCUUGCCUCUGGUGGACGUGAAAUAAAAAGUAAGCCAAUCACAUGAGACUAAUUUGAUUAGUCUAAAAGGGAAGAGUCCUCUGUAUGUUUGAAGGGGGAGGUAAAAUUUUACAAUAAAAUUUGGGCAUGUGAGGCACUGUGUCUUAAAAACAAAGCAUCUAGGUGGCUGCCUAAUCUUACAAGGAACUCCUGCGGGGGGCUUGACGCCUCCGCAUCCCCCGGCACCUGGCUCCUCGGCCAGGAACGCAGGGAUGGGACUCCAGGAGGCAGCAGCACCCAGAACCCAAUCAGCAAGAUAAAUGAUGUUCUCUAAUUACCAUGAAACCUACACAAUACAGGAUAUGCUGCCUGAACCAUCGCGGAGUGUGCGGAAACGGCCAUUCCAGGAAUCUGAGGGAACAAACUGAACUGGGCCUUCGUUCUGAGGUGGUGGGGAAGGAGCAGUACCACACCCAUAGCACCGAGGACCCCAGCCCCACAAGGGCCUGUGCCUCAGAGGUGGGAACCAGGCCCUUAGCCACUGCAAUCCAGGUGAGAGUGAGGCAUGAGGGGUUGGCAGAGCCCCCAGGACAGGGUCUUAGCAGGUUUCUACUGGGGAACAGGGCCGGGAGAACAGGUCACCCUGUUUGUCUACUGGGGCUGUGAGCGAGUUGUCCUGAGUUUCUGUGUCCAAGUUCUGGCUUCUGAAAGCAAAGCCGAGGCAGCUCCCCUGACCUGGCUGAACGGCCUUGGAGUCAGGGCUGCAGCAAGAGGGCUACUCUACAACACCCCUCUGACAAGUGCAUGUGCCCUCAGUUUUUGAAAGCAGUGGUGGCAAUCUUUCCCCCGGGUAAAUCUACCCAUUUUGAAGUUUGUCAUACAAUGAAGGUGGCACCAGACCCUUUUCCUCUUAUCUCCAAAAAAUGGCACAAACACAUUUUGGCUCUCAACCAUCUAUUCUAUCAACAUGGGCUUCCAUUGCAUGGCCUUCCCAGCCAAGAUGAUUCCCAUUCCUCACCACGAAUCACAGGGCACAGAAGCCAGUGACGGGAGGAAAGGGAAAGGCUCUGGACACACAUGAGCCGGUGUUUCUUCCUUGCUAUGGGGAAGCCCGAACACAAAGACAUGGCAAAUCAAAACGCUCUCCCAAGCACUGCUUGUGGACCCCACUUGGGCUGUGGUGUGUGUAGCCAUUCUGAUAAGUCUUUGCUGUAUCCUGAGCUCUAGUUGUGACUUUCCUUUCUCCCCAGUAGAUUUCUCUGUCCUUUUCAAGCUAGGAAAUGUCAGUGGUUUCUUUCAGGCAUCUCUGGGAGAGAGGUUUUUGUUUUUGUUUUUUAGAGUGAGAGCAGGAAAAGGCCAUUCAGCUUAUCUUGUUCACUUCCUAAAACCCAAACAAACUCUCAGAAAACCACAUCACACCCUAUUCAUUCCGCAUGUGUCUCUGCUCUUGGAUAGGGAGAUUUAAGAGCCAUUUUGACUUUAUAAAAACAGUUGGAACUGGUUUGAAAAACCUCCAAAGACUGAGAAAUGACUUAGAAAGUUUGAGACCAAAAUUGGUGUGGUUAGUUCCCUCCUAAGGAAAUGAUUUUGAAAAAUCCUUUCUUUCCUCAGAGAAUCCCAUCCCAGUUGGCUGCCCCAGGCUCACAGAGGAUGGAUAGCUGAUAUUCUCAAACCCUGGCUCAGAUCCCAUCUGUCCACUGAGCAGAGGACGUCUGCUUAUUCUUGUAGCUCCCCCUAUCCUAGCAAGAAAAGGGUUUUGUGAUUUGCGGGCCAUGGAAGUGAAAAAUUUCAAAUGACUCUACUUGCCUCAUCAAAUAAAAUACAUUUAAGGCUUAUUUGUGAAACAUUAGGGCUCUCAAUGCCCCCUCCAAAAUAUAAUGCAAACUCUUCCCCUCAAAUUAUUUAAAGCCCCACUUUAUGAAACACUCACUAAGCACUCUGGGAGUCUGAGACAGGAAGACUACAAGUUCGAGCCAAGCCCAAACAUCUUAGUAAGACCAUGGCUCAAAAUGUUUAAAAAUGAGGGAGGGAUGUAGCUCGAUGAGAAGGCUCUGGGUUCUAGUACUGCCAAAAAAAAAGAAGAAGAAGAAGAACUAAGAAGACAACUGGGGCUGGGGAUUUAGCUCAGCGGCAAAGCGCCUGCCUGGCAAGCGCAAGGUCGUGAGUUCGGUUCCUGGUACCGGAGAAAAACAAACAAACAAACAAAAACCAAGAAGACAACUGAUUCAUACAAAUCUAAGUUUCCAGACGCAUUGGCCUGUCUCCUUCACUAAUCAGGGUCUCUUUCUUGCAGCCUCCUUCCCAGUGUGCGUGGGAAAGCAGAAAUGCCAGGGAAAAGCUCCUGCUCAGGGCCAGGCAAGAAGAAGCAGGCAAUGCCUGGCUUUGUCAUCCGAUGUAACAAAAAGCCUUAGUGUGUACCUGGUAACACACUAAGGUACAACAGUGUGGGAACGUGACAACAGUGUGGGUUUGUGUGGGAGCUCCCUAAAAAGCCAGGUCAUUAGGACUCCAGUUACCCCCUAAACGGCCACCGCGUCUCCAGGUCUAAGCAGUGACUCCAGAGGCCGAGGGGGGUCACUUGUGUUCAUUGCUUGCCAACACCAGCAAUCUGUUCGUCGUUGUCCAUCCAGAUAGUAAACGUAAUCAUCCAUCAACCCUUGCUGCUCAUGUGCAAACCCUAAGCCAGCACCCAUCCGAGGAGCAGGGCUGGGCUCGGGCCACAGAAUGAGCCCAGCCUAAGAUGGGGGGACGUUCUGUGGUCAAGCCACCAGAUCUGUAGUCAUAUUUCCUUGUCAGAGUUAAAAAUAAAGCCCUGUUCCCUCA